rnacentral:rRNA from 1 species
UGGGGAAUAUUGCGCAAUGGGGGAAACCCUGACGCAGCAACGCCGCGUGAGUGAUGAAGGCUUUCGAGUCGUAAAACUCUGUCUUCGGGGACGAUAAUGACGGUACCCGAGGAGGAAGCCCCGGCUAACUACGUGCCAGCAGCCGCGGUAAUACGUAGGGGGCAAGCGUUGUCCGGAAUCACUGGGCGUAAAGGGCGCGUAGGCGGUUUGUUAAGUCAGGUGUGAAAGUUUUCAGCUUAACUGGAAAAGUGCACUUGAAACUAACUUACUUGAGUACUGGAGAGGUAAGCGGAAUUCCUAGUGUAGCGGUGAAAUGCGUAGAUAUUAGGAAGAACACCGGUGGCGAAGGCGGCUUACUGGACAGAGACUGACGCUGAGGCGCGAAAGCGUGGGGAUCAAACA